ensembl:lncRNA
GCUGGAUGUUGUCAGGGGUUCCAGUAACCUGACUCUACCCCCAAGGUGCUGGGCAUACUUGCCCCCCUGUGCAACACACUAACACACUCAAUACACAUGGACACACUUACACACUCAAUACACACACGGACUUACACACACAAUAUACACACGGACACACACACUCAAUACACACACGGAGACACACAAACGGACACACUCAAUACACACACUGACACACACACACUGACACACACACGGAUAUACACACUCAAUACACACACGGAGACACACAAACGGACACACUCAAUACACACACUGACACACACACACUGACACACACACGGAUAUACACACACAAUACACACACGGACACACACACAUACACACACUGACACACACACGGACACACACUAAAUACACACAUACACACACACACGGACACACACACGGAUACACACACAUACACACUCAUUACACACACACACACACACACACGGACACACUCAAUACACACAGAUACACACUCAAUACACACACGGACACACACUAAAUACAUACACGGACACACACGGAUACACACACAUACACACUCAUUACACACACACACACACACACACGGACACACUCAAUACACACAGAUACACACUCAAUACACACACACACGGACACACACUCAAUACACACACACACGGACACACACUAAAUACACACACACACGGACACACACUAAAUACACACACACACACGGACACACACUAAAUACAAACACACACGGACACACACAAUACAGACACGGGCACACACAAUGGACACACUCCAUACACACACACACGGACACACACACGGAUACACACACAUACACACUCAUUACACACACACACACACACACACGGACACACUCAAUACACACAGAUACACACUCAAUACACACACACACGGACACACACUCAAUACACACACACACGGACACACACUCAAUACACACACACACGGGACACACACUAAAAAUACACACACACACGGACACACACUAAAUACACACACACACGGACACACACAAUACAGACACGGGCACACACUAAAUACACACACACACACGGACACACACUAAAUACACACACACACGGACACACACAAUACAGACACGGGCACACACUAAAUACACACACACACACACACUAAAUACACACACACACGGACACACACAAUACAGACACGGGCACACGCAAUGGACACACUCCAUACACACACGGACGGGGGACACACACCCUCAAUACACACAAACACCUCUGUCAGCCUCGAACUUCCCUGCUUAUGCACGCUAGACCCUUCCCACUGCCAAUAGGAGAGAGAGAAGAUAGUGAGGGUGUGUUCUCGAUCUCGACACAUCCACAGGAACCAGUGGUUUGCUGGAAGGGUCAGGGUCAAGGUGAGGGUUAUGGUCAGGGAUAGGGUCAGGGUUAGGGUCAAGGUAAUGGUUAGGGUCAAGGUGAGGGUUAUGGUAAUGGUCAGGGUCAAGGUGAGGGUUAUGGUAAUGGUUAGGGUUAUGGUAAUGGUUAGGGUAAUGGUUAGGGUCAAGGUGAGGGUGAGGGUAAUGGUUAGGGUCAAGGUGAGGGUAAGGGUUAUGGUAAGGGUCUGGGUUAUGGUGAGGGUUAGGGUCAGGGUUAUGGUAAUGGUUAGGGUCAAGGUGAGGGUUA